rnacentral:rRNA from 1 species
AUUGAACGCUAGCGGCAUGCCUUACACAUGCAAGUCGAACGCGUGGCGAACGGGUGCGUAAUGUAACGGUACGUGCCCCGUAGCGAUGGCUAACUACGCCACGGGUAGCUGAUGCCGCAACCUCGUGGCACGGCCUGUAUCGGAUUAGAUAGUUGGUGGGGUAACGGCUCACCCAGGCGACGAUCCGUAGCUGGUUUGAGAGGACGACCAGCCAAACUGGGACUGAGACACGGCCCAGACUCCUGCGGGAGGGAGCAGUGGGGAAUUUUGGACAAUGGGGGAAACCCUGAUCCAGCCAUGCCGCGUGUGCGAUGAAGGCCUUCGGGUUGUAAAGCACUUUUGGCAGGAAAGCGGUACCUGCAGAAGAAGCACCGGCUAACUACGUGCCAGCAGCCGCGGUAAUAC